rnacentral:snRNA from 1 species
AAUAUCAAGAGACAUAUAUGAUCA